AUUGAACGCUAGCGGGCUGCUUUACACAUGCAAGUCGAACGAGUGGCGGACGGGUGAGUAAUAUAUCGGAACGUGCCCAGUCUCUGGGGCUACCUACUCGAACGCGUGGCUAAUACCUCACACUAUUGCAGCGGCCGUUCUCGGAUUAGCUAGGUGGGGGGGGAAAGGCUAACCAAGGCAACGAUCCGUAGCUGGUUUGAGAGGACGACCAGCCACACUGGGAAUGAGACACGGCCCAGACUCCUACGGGAGGCAGCAGUGGGGAAUUUUGGACAAUGGGGGAAACCCUGAUCCAGCAAUCCCGCGUGUAUGAGAAGGCCUUCGGGUUGUAAAGUACUGUUGGCAGAGAAGCGGUAUCUGCAGAAUAAGCACCGGCUAACUACGUGCCAGCAGCCGCGGUAAUUC
rnacentral:rRNA from 1 species